UACGUAGGGGGCAAGCGUUGUCCGGAAUUAUUGGGCGUAAAGAGCUCGUAGGCGGUCUGUCACGUCUGCUGUGAAAACUCGGGGCUUAACCCCGGGCCUGCAGUGGGUACGGGCAGACUAGAGUGCGGUAGGGGAGACUGGAAUUCCUGGUGUAGCGGUGAAAUGCGCAGAUAUCAGGAGGAACACCGGUGGCGAAGGCGGGUCUCUGGGCCGUAACUGACGCUGAGGAGCGAAAGCGUGGGGAGCGAACAGG
rnacentral:rRNA from 1 species